UACGUAGGUGACAAGCGUUGUCCGGAUUUACUGGGCGUAAAGAGCGCGUAGGCGGUCUGACAAGUCCCCUGUGAAAGCCCCCGGCUUAACCGGGGAACUGCAUGGGAUACUGUUGGGCUAGAGUGCAGGAGGGGAGAGCGGAAUUCCUGGUGGAGCGGUGAAAUGCGUAGAUAUCAGGAGGAACGCCGGCGGCGAAAGCGACUCUCUGGCCUGUAACUGACGCUGAGGCGCGAAAGCUAGGGGAGCAAACGGG
rnacentral:rRNA from 1 species